UUAAAGGAGGAGAAAUUCCAAGGUUUGAAAUUAAAGUGACCCAUGAAGCUAAACUUAAUGAAAUAUUGCACAAGAUUAAUUCUAUUGAAAUUAAGUUAUGCUCUGAUGGUGUAAAGGACUUCAUUAAGUUGCUAAAAGUGGGCAUUGCCUACCGUGUUGGUGGGAUCAUUUGAGUUUUUCAUAGAUCUCCUCAGCAAUCCGUUAGCCAUACCAAACAAUCUACAAUGUUGUCUUUGUCUUUGGUAAUUGAAUACAUUGGAUUCCCUCCAAGCGGUGGUAUUCCCAUCAGAGCCCCUCCAAUGGUGUACAAGCAUCUACAACCAUUUAUUAACUUGUUUGUUUUUUCACCAAUUGAUGAUGUUAUGGAUCUAUCAUAUAGUCUGGCAUGAGCAGCUAUGUUUAGUACUGGUGCAUUCGACAGAAACCUAGAUGAAGUUUGAGCAUGGUUACUAUUUUACCAAGAUGUAUCAUCUACUUUCAGCCCUUUUGUCAUAAGUGUUGCAGAAGUGUCUAAGACCCUAAAGUUGCUAACUUUUGAAUCUGGAAGCUUUACAUUGCCUGAAAAGUCAUCAUAUCACUAUAUGUAUGCCGUGCACAAAAUUAUAUCAUGCAAACUCAGGUGGAUGUAGGAUUGCUAUCUGCUUUGGUUGAAUCGGUCUUGUUUAAGAGACUUGGUGAUUGUUGUGCAGUAAAUGGAUUUUCUUCCUCAAUUAUUUGCAUGUUGCCUGAUGAGAUACUGAAAAUUUUCCAUCAGUUAUGA